GACGAACGCUGGCGGCGUGCCUAAUACAUGCAAGUUGAGCGCUGAAGGUUGGUACUUGUACCAACUGGAUGAGCAGCGAACGGGUGAGUAACGCGUGGGGAAUCUGCCUUUGAGCGGGGGACAACAUUUGGAAACGAAUGCUAAUACCGCAUAAAAACUUUAAACACAAGUUUUAAGUUUGAAAGAUGCAAUUGCAUCACUCAAAGAUGAUCCCGCGUUGUAUUAGCUAGUUGGUGAGGUAAAGGCUCACCAAGGCGAUGAUACAUAGCCGACCUGAGAGGGUGAUCGGCCACAUUGGGACUGAGACACGGCCCAAACUCCUACGGGAGGCAGCAGUAGGGAAUCGUCGGCAAUGGACGAAAGUCUGACCGAGCAACGCCGCGUGAGGGAAGAAGGUUUUCGGAUCGUAAAACUCUGUUGGUAGAGAAGAACGUUGGUGAGAGUGGAAAGCUCAUCAAGUGACGGUAACUACCCAGAAAGGGACGGCUAACUACGUG
rnacentral:rRNA from 1 species